ensembl:miRNA gga-mir-6657 gga-mir-6657
AGGGAAAUCAGGCUCGCUGCUGCUGCCCCCUCUUUCACCAGGGUCUGGUUUGUACUGUGUUGGACAUGGUGGGAGAAGGGUGACCAGCACACUGAGCUGAUGAUCCUACU